rnacentral:rRNA from 1 species
UACGUAGGGCGCAAGCGUUAUCCGGAAUUAUUGGGCGUAAAGCGCGCGCAGGCGGUCCUUUAAGUCUGAUGUGAAAGCCCACGGCUCAACCGUGGAGGGUCAUUGGAAACUGGGGGACUUGAGUGCAGAAGAGGAAAGUGGAAUUCCACGUGUAGCGGUGAAAUGCGUAGAGAUGUGGAGGAACACCAGUGGCGAAGGCGACUUUCUGGUCUGUAACUGACGCUGAGGCGCGAAAGCGUGGGGAGCAAACAGG